GGAAAACAUAUUUUUCGGAGCGGUGUUUUGGUUGGAUCGCUUUAUCGUCGGCUUCGGGUCCGAAAAAUGGAUUGCGGUUUCUCACUUCUCUGGUCCUAGAGAGAGAAAGUUCGGUUCCGGAGAGAUAGAAGGAGCCAUUUGCGACGUCGUUUUGGAGCUUAAACAACUGUGGUGUGAAUUGGGAGCUGUAAAAGAAGCAGAAACGACGCCGUACUGUUCGCGUUCUUGAAGAACCCUAAUUCCCCUGGAUUGGGAUCACACUGAAAGUUGGAGAAUGCCCGGCAGAAUUGCGGGGAUCAGGGUAUCUUAUGCAUAAUGGUCUCAUAAACAGUCGUAGCUCUUUUUCACAGAAACAAUUAGCUGAGAAAUUUGGUGCCUGGGAAUUUAAUGCCUGGUAACGAAAUUGAAGGCAGGAUCCACAAUUUUUAUGAACAAGACAACUAUACCCGUCAAUCUCAAGUUGCAGACGGUAAUUGGCCUGUGCAUAUUUAUAAUCAAUGGCAUGGAAAACAAAGAGAGACAAGUAAUGUGCAACAACUAGAUUUUGGGAGAGGACGGGGUGGUGAGUCUUUGAGUUUUGAUAAAACAUAUACACAGUUGGCUCAGAAACCGGAAUUGUCCCAUAUUCAAACUAGAAACCAACAUCUGGAGACGAAUGGGUUUAUGCUUGGAUGGCAGGAUUUGCAGGAAAGCCAGUUUUUCGAUGAUAGCUCAGUUUUUGUUCCACUUUCUUUAACUUCGAGAGGCUUAUCUAUC